rnacentral:rRNA from 1 species
GAUGAACGCUGGCGGCGUGCCUAAUACAUGCAAGUCGAGCGAACAGACGAGGAGCUUGCUCCUCUGACGUUAGCGGCGGACGGGUGAGUAACACGUGGAUAACCUACCUAUAAGACUGGGAUAACUUCGGGAAACCGGAGCUAAUACCACAUAAUAUAUUGAACCGCAUGGUUCAAUAGUGAAAGACGGUUUUGCUGUCACUUAUAGAUGGAUCCGCGCCGCAUUAGCUAGUUGGUAAGGUAACGGCUUACCAAGGCAACGAUGCGUAGCCGACCUGAGAGGGUGAUCGGCCACACUGGAACUGAGACACGGUCCAGACUCCUACGGGAGGCAGCAGUAGGGAAUCUUCCGCAAUGGGCGAAAGCCUGACGGAGCAACGCCGCGUGAGUGAUGAAGGUCUUCGGAUCGUAAAACUCUGUUAUUAGGGAAGAACAAAUGUGUAAGUAACUAUGCACGUCUUGACGGUACCUAAUCAGAAAGCCACGGCUAACUACGUG